UCUACGGGAGGCAGCAGUGGGGAAUAUUGCACAAUGGGGGAAACCCUGAUGCAGCGACGCCGCGUGAAGGAUGAAGUAUUUCGGUAUGUAAACUUCUAUCAGCAGGGAAGAAAAUGACGGUACCUGACUAAGAAGCCCCGGCUAACUACGUGCCAGCAGCCGCGGUAAUA
rnacentral:rRNA from 1 species